UAGGGAAUCUUCCGCAAUGGGCGAAAGCCUGACGGAGCAACGCCGCGUGAGUGAUGAAGGUCUUCGGAUCGUAAAACUCUGUUAUUAGGGAAGAACAAAUGUGUAAGUAACUAUGCACGUCUUGACGGUACCUAAUCAGAAAGCCACGGCUAACUACGUGCCAGCAGCCGCGGUAAUACGUAGGUGGCAAGCGUUAUCCGGAAUUAUUGGGCGUAAAGCGCGCGUAGGCGGUUUUUUAAGUCUGAUGUGAAAGCCCACGGCUCAACCGUGGAGGGUCAUUGGAAACUGGAAAACUUGAGUGCAGAAGAGGAAAGUGGAAUUCCAUGUGUAGCGGUGAAAUGCGCAGAGAUAUGGAGGAACACCAGUGGUGAAGGCGACUUUCUGGUCUGUAACUGACGCUGAUGUGCGAAAGCGUGGGGAACAAACAGG
rnacentral:rRNA from 1 species